rnacentral:lncRNA from 1 species
UAGGAUUAGUAUUGCGCUAAUCUAAUUAGAGAAUUAUACUAUAAAUAAGAGUAUGAUAUAAUAACGUAGGAGAUGCAUGAUGUAAUUAGAAAUUCUAUUUUUUUUCUUUGGUCCUAAUUUUAGAAAUUUUUCUUUUAUUCUCUCUGAUUAUCUAUAUUUCUCUCUAUUCUUGAUACAAAUUCAUAUCAAAUGGUGCUUUCAUUAUGAACAUCAUGCCAAAUUCUCAUGGUGGUUCACCGGACUCAAUUUGGGAUCAAUUUCAAACUAGUUUGCAAUGUUUGGAUUUAAUUUAUCAAGAACGGACCAAGAUGCUUGUUCAGGCAACCUGCAUCAUUUGAUACAAAAUUGUAUUAAGAACUAGAGAGAAUUAGAGAUAAUCAGAGAGAAUAGAACAUAAAUUUCUAAAAUUAGAGUCAAAGAAAAAAAAGUAGAAUUUCUAAUUACAUCAUACAUCUCCUACAUUAUUAUAUCAUACUCAUAUUUAUAACAUAAUUCUCUAAUUCGACUAGAUCAAUACUAAUCCUAUCAAAAUGUUUCUUACUGUUAAUAAUGACUUUGUGUCAUGGAUGUUAUUCCUAUUCCUUUCACUGACUUUUCAUUUGUGAAAUGAUGCAUAUGCAUAUGAUAUAUAUGUCAUUAAUUAUUGCCAUGUGCGCUUGAAUACUAUUUCCCACUUUACAGUCUAUCACUUGGAAAUUUCCUUAACCAAUUACAUUACUUCCAAGAUUAUGAAUAAGAAAUAAGAAAUAAUUUUAACAAAAUCUUAAUUAACACAAUUAAUAUCUUUAAAUGUUAGAGAGAAUUUUAAAAUUUAUUUUAAAUGUUGGAAACAAAAAUAAUACUUUACUCAAUUUAGAAUCAACAAUAAUGAUAAAUAAUUACAAUCACACAGUAUGUAUAUAUUGCACAAAAAUAAUUGAUUGUCAAUAUAAAAUAUAAUAAUAGCAUAAUGGACCACAUACCUGAAGGGUUAAACUGUAUGAUGAGUGAAUUUCAAUCAUUGUCUCCCAAAUUGCAAAUUCUUCAUGUAAUGUAGUUAUGUUUUAGGUGGUUGAAUAAAGCAAUAAUCUUGUUGGCAAGUAUAUAUAUGCAAUGCAAGAGGGACAAGCUUGUUCACAACAAAAUAUCCUAAUUAUAUAUAUUUCUCUACUCCUAGCUAAUCUUUUGUCAUUAUGGGCAAUGAAAGUUAGACAUCAUCUGACAGUCUGACACCACACUCUCAUGAAUAGUUGAACAUGUUUGUAUAAAUAUAAUAAACAUUACACAUGUAGAAAAACAUUUGAAAAAUUACUUUUGAAAAUAAUUUAAAUAAAUAGAAGUAAACAUAUUGAUUAAAUUAGUCAUNNNNNNNNNNNNNAUAACUAAUUUUAGUGGUUAAUUUUAAUAAUGUACAAGUAAUAUUUCUGUAUAACAAUAGUUAUAUUAAGAUAAAUGUCAUAAAACUAUUAUCUUCUUUUUUUAAUCACCGAAAAAUGAUUAUAACUAAGUUUACGCUGAAUCAACCAAUGGUGGAUGAAAAAUGUGAAUCCACACAUUAUUUCACAUUAUAUGUAUAUGCAAUUAUGCAAACAUUCGCAAUGAAACUAUUUUAUAGUUGGACAUAUUCAUUGAAUUUAAUUUCUCUAUGAGCUGAGGUAUAUAAAUAAUGCGGUGAGAAGGGAUAAUAAUAAGAGGAGGGGACAAAAAUUAAACAUAUAUAGCAAAACAAUUGCAUAACGUUUUAAUUGUAAGAGGUGUAUGUGAUCAUUUUAUAUAGUUAUAUUACCUCAAUAAUUGAUAUUCCAUCAAUUUGCUUCUCCAUGAUGAACACCUUCAUAUACUUUCUCUACGUACAUUCACUUGAUCUGGACUUCGCAACACUUUAAUUUUUUUUUUCCACCUCAAUUUGAAAGCUCCAUCACUU